rnacentral:tRNA from 1 species
GCUGGUUUGGCUCAGGGGAUAGAGCAUUGGCCUUAGGACUGAAGGGUCCCGGGUUCGAUUCCCGGCACAUGCC